UACGGAGGGGGCGAGCGUUAUUCGGAAUUAUUGGGCGUAAAGAGCGUGUAGGCGGCCUUACAGGUCAGCUGUGAAAACUCGAGGCUCAACCUCGAGACGUCGGUUGAAACCGUAAGGCUAGAGUCCGGAAGAGGAGAGUGGAAUUCCCGGUGUAGCGGUGAAAUGCGCAGAUAUCGGGAAGAACACCCGUGGCGAAGGCGGCUCUCUGGGACGGUACUGACGCUGAGACGCGAAAGCGUGGGGAGCGAACAGG
rnacentral:rRNA from 1 species